AGUGGUGGUGUGAGGUACAAUUUGGCCCCAAACUCACGCUCAGGAGUGAGAGCUUCGUUUUCAAGCAGAGGAAGGAUGAACGAGACUGGUGCCUUGUUGUGCUGUACUCAUCUUUGGCCAUCUGUGUGCUGUGUGUGCUGGUGCUCCUCAUCCGCUCCUACAGCUGUCUGCACCAGCAGUGCUCAGGUCCAACACCCACACCUGACCAGUUCACUUCAGAAGAGGCUGAGGUGACAUACACACAUCUGAGGUUUGAGAUCUCAUCUGGUCCUGGGAGUCAACAGAGCAGAGGCACUAAGGCCUGCCUAGACAGAGCGUUGUCUACUUCGGUCAUAUACACAGCUGUAGACCCACAAUAAGCCUCGUGGCUGGUGUGUGUGUGUGUGUGUGUGUGUGUG